rnacentral:lncRNA from 1 species
UUGAUUUUAUUUUUCAUCAAUUUUAGUUGUGCAAAAUAAUAAUUAAUAUUAUUUUGCAAUCUUAAUUGAUUUUCUUUUACAUUUUAGUUGAUUUAAUUUGCAAUUUAAUAAUUAAUAUUAAUAUUGCAAAUUAACUUCUAUUUUUUCCUUAUUUUCUUAAUUCAAUUUUAUUUUUAUAUUGCAAUUUAAUUCCUUACAUUACUUUGUAAUUUCUCUUGAUUUUGAUUUGAUUUUGUAUUUUUG